GCUCUGCCAUGCUUCUCAUUUGUAUGUUUAGCAAUAUUUGUUUUUUGUUAAAAGAAUUGUUCUAUUACUAUCAUUAUUGUUGUUUUUGUUGUUGUUUUCAGGAGAGAGCUCAUAAGUAUUACAGUGGAAUGACCAAGGAGCAAUUUAGGAAAAUGCAAGAAUUUAUAACAGGUCGAGGUUCAAAAAAACCUCCUUCCAAAUUAUAGGUAUUAAUUAGCUUGGCGCCGAGUACUCGAUCACAACGAUGAAGAACCUAGCAAUCACGCUCUUGUUUGCUAUUAUGAUGGUGUUGGUGACUCGGGAAGCCGAUGCACGCCUUGCUUCGAAAGAUUAUUACAAUGGUAAAAAUGCUAAUUACAAGGAUGAAAUUGAUAAUGACAGUGCUGAAGCUUCAAGAAAAAAACUAGUGGCAAGUACUGGAAAAACGAUGAAUACAUAUAGUUACGGUGUUGAUACAGUCGGUGAUGAUAGUAAUGACACGGGUGAAGGUUCUACUGGUGGAGACGGGAUGCGUCACCGCCAAUGGCGAACUGCGAAUCAACCCGAGGUCCCUAGCAAAGGUAAUAAAAGAUUAGUUACAAAUAAUAACUAACGGCGUAUGUAUGAACAUAUAUGCACUGUCUAAAACGAUAAUGGAUGAUGCGACUAUCUGUGUUUAUAUACAUAUAUAUCCAUAUAUAGAUAUAUAUGUAUGCAGGGGUGUGAAGCUUAAUUAUAAUAAACUGAAGGAGUGCUACUACAACAUGUUAAACGGACCAGGCAUGCAUGUAAACUAUGAUAUGGCCAGCCGACAUGUUUAGUUUCAAUUUGUGUUUUGAGGUAUUACUGUUCGAUCCGUAUGUAUGCAUGUUUCAUAUUUAUAUGUAUAUGUAUAUACGUAUACAUGAUCAUGCAGUAUUGGUUUAUGUUACGUGCUAUAUAUGUAAUUGGCACGUUCUUUUGAAAGAAUAAAACUCGUGUAUCUUAUUUAUGCUUGA